AUACAGAGGGUGCGAGCGUUAAUCGGAUUUACUGGGCGUAAAGCGCGCGUAGGUGGUUAAUUAAGUCAAAUGUGAAAUCCCCGAGCUUAACUUGGGAAUUGCAUUCGAUACUGGUUAGCUAGAGUAUGGGAGAGGAUGGUAGAAUUCCAGGUGUAGCGGGGAAAUGCGUAGAGAUCUGGAGGAAUACCGAUGGCGAAGGCAGCCAUCUGGCCUAAUACUGACACUGAGGUGCGAAAGCAUGGGGAGCAAACAGGAUUAGAUACCCUGGUAGUCCAUGCCGUAAACGAUGUCUACUAGCCGUUGGGGGAUUUGAUCCUUUAGUGGCGCAGCUAACGCGAUAAGCGCCCCACCUGGGGAGUACGGUCGCAAGACUGAAACUUAAAGGAAUUGGCGGGG
rnacentral:rRNA from 1 species